ensembl:lncRNA
GAAGGCUGAGCGCUGAAGAAUUGAUGCGUUUGAACUGUGGUGUUGGAGAAGACUCUUGAGAGUCCCUUGGACUGCAAGGAGAUCCAACCAGUCCAUUCUAAAGGAGAUCAGUCCUGGGAUUUCUUUGGAAGGAAUGAUGCUAAAGCUGAAGCUCCAGUACUUUGGCCACCUCAUGCGAAGAGUUGACUCAUUGGAAAAGACUCUGAUGCUGGGAGGGAUUGAGGGCAGGAGGAGAAGGGGAUGACAAAGAAUGAUGGCUGGAUGGCAUCACUGACUCGAUGGAUCUCUACACUGCAACGUCACCUGAGUGUUUUAGCCAGCUUUGCUGCCAUAACCAAGUACCAGAGAUCGGGUACUUACGCAACAGAACUUUGCUUCUGGAGAUGAAGGCUGAGAUCCAGGAGCCAGCACAGUUGGGCUCUGCGAGGACCCACUUCCUGGCCUGCAGGUCCAUAAACCAUCUGGAGAUGUUUUGC